CCUACGGGAGGCAGCAGUGGGGGAUAUUGCACAAUGGGGGGAACCCUGAUGCAGCGACGCCGCGUGGGUGAAGGAGUGCUUCGGCAUGUAAAGCCCUAUCGGCAGGGGAGAAACAAGACGGUACCUGCCUAAGAAGCCCCGGCUAACUACGGGCCAGCAGCCGCGGUAAUACGUAGGGGGCGAGAGUUAUCCGGAUUCACUGGGGGUAACGGGAGCGUAGACGGCCAUGCAAGCCAGGGGUGAAAGCCCGGGGCCCAACCCCGGGACUGCCCUUGGAACUGCAUGGCUGGAGUGCGGGAGGGGCAGGCGGAAUUCCUGGUGUAGCGGUGAAAUGCGUAGAUAUCAGGAGGAACACCGGCGGCGAAGGCGGCGUGCUGGACCGCGACUGACGUUGAGGCUCGAAAGCGUGGGGAGCGAACAGGAUUAGAUACCCGAGUAGUC
rnacentral:rRNA from 1 species